rnacentral:rRNA from 1 species
UACGAAGGGGGCGAGCGUUGUUCGGAAUUACUGGGCGUAAAGGGCGCGUAGGCGGCCCCUUUUGUCGCGUGUGAAAGCCCCGGGCUCAACCUGGGAACGGCGCGCGAAACGGGGGGGCUUGAGUUCGGGAGAGGGAUGCGGAAUUCCAGGUGUAGCGGUGAAAUGCGUAGAUAUCGGGAGGAACACCAGUGGCGAAGGCGGCUUCCUGGACCAGAGCUGACACUGAGGCGCGAAAGCGUGGGGAGCGAUCCGG